CUCAGGACGAACGCUGGCGGCGUGCUUAACACAUGCAAGUCGAACGGUGAAGCCUUUCGGGGUGGAUCAGUGGCGAACGGGUGAGUAACACGUGGGUAACCUGCCUCUUGCUCUGGGAUAAGCCUAGGAAACUGGGUCUAAUACCGGAUAUUCACUUUCUCCUGCAUGGGGGGUUGUGGAAAGUUUUUCGGCGAGGGAUGGGCCCGCGGCCUAUCAGCUUGUUGGUGGGGUGAUGGCCUACCAAGGCGACGACGGGUAGCCGGCCUGAGAGGGCGACCGGCCACACUGGGACUGAGACACGGCCCAGACUCCUACGGGAGGCAGCAGUGGGGAAUAUUGCGCAAUGGGCGAAAGCCUGACGCAGCGACGCCGCGUGAGGGAUGAAGGCCUUCGGGUUGUAAACCUCUUUCAGCAGGGACGAAGCGUGAGUGACGGUACCUGCAGAAGAAGCACCGGCCAACUACGUGCCAGCAGCCGCGGUAAUACGUAGGGUGCAAGCGUUGUCCGGAAUUAUUGGGCGUAAAGAGCUCGUAGGCGGUUUGUCGCGUCGACUGUGAAAACCCGAGGCUUAACCUCGGGCCUGCAGUCGAUACGGGCAGACUAGAGUUCGGUAGGGGAGACUGGAAUUCCUGGUGUAGCGGUGAAAUGCGCAGAUAUCAGGAGGAACACCGGUGGCGAAGGCGGGUCUCUGGGCCGAUACUGA
rnacentral:rRNA from 1 species